rnacentral:lncRNA from 1 species
CAACUGCUGGGAUUACUGGCGCGUGCCACCAGCCUCGCUAAACUGUCUGAAAACAAUUCACUCCGCCCAUUCUCCUCCUUGCCAGCCUACAGCUUAGGGCCAAGCCCAGCCAAGCCUGCUGAGCCCACGAGGAUCAGUCAACUUGCUGAAGCAUGAAUGAGAAUACAUGGUUGUUAGUGUAGGUCACUGGACUUGGAGGUGGCCUGCUAUACAUCAACAGCUGACAGGAUGCUAGGUGAAGAAGAGCCUCCCAGAGGGCAGAGCCAGGCAUUAUGGGAAACAGAGGACAUCCCUCCUGGAAAGCCAGACUGACUGCCAGAGAACUGUGUCUGUGUAGUCCUGAGCUUUGACUUAUACUGGCACAGAUAUAAUGAAUGGCUGGGGCUGAUGUAGCCAUUUCAACCAUGGGAUAAGCAAAGAAAGGGCAGCCUACACAGAAUGAAGCAGUGUGGAUUACAGGAGCCCAAAUCUCAGAGGAUUGCAUGGAACAAACCACCAGACAAACUCUGAACUUCCUGCCUCCAACUUCUAACUUGUGAAUGUUACCGAUAGCUACCAUCUCUUACUCACAGAUGAACCUAACUUGAAUACAGCACCCAGGCAGUGACACUGCACAGUCCUUAAGCUAAGUAAGGGGGAGAGGACUCUCUUCUGGAGCUGUUACUAUUGGCAGACAAAGUGCACCCUGACCAGCACCAACUCCAAACACAGUCCUCAGGAAAACACCCCUUCUACAUCCACUCCUGGAUCAAAUCUUGUUAUAACUGAGUGAUGGAACGUCUGCUCAAACCAAUACUCCCCGUCCACCACAACUGCCAGAAGAAUAACUCGCCACAAAUUGUUGGUUCUUGACAUCGCUCACUUCUCUAACUGUGUUUUGCAUGAAGAAAACAGAUGAGUAGCAGAUUGCAUACCUUAGCUGCAAGGGAAUCCAGAGAUUUUUUUUUUUACUUCUAACAAAAGCAAAC